rnacentral:rRNA from 1 species
GUCUACAGCCAUGCCACCCUGAACAAGCCAGAUCCUGUCUGAUCUCAGAAGCUAAGCAGGGUCGAGCCUGGUUGGUACUUGGAUGGGAGAUCACCUAGGAAGAGUAUGUGCUGUAAAUG